rnacentral:rRNA from 1 species
GAUGAACGCUAGCGGCAGGCCUAAUACAUGCAAGUCGAACGGUGUCUUCGGACAUAGUGGCGCACGGGUGCGUAACACGUAUGCAACCUACCUUACAUUGGGGGAUAGCCUUUCGAAAGGGAGAUUAAUACCGCAUAAGACAGUAGCUGGGCAUCCAGCAGCUGUUAAAGAUUUAUCGAUGUAAGCUGGGCAUGCGUCCAAUUAGCUAGUUGGUGAGGUAACGGCUCACCAAGGCAAUGAUUGGUAGGGGAACUGAGAGGUCAAUCCCCCACACUGGCACUAAGAGACGGGCCAGACUCCUACGGGAGGCAGCGGUAGGGAAUAUUGGGCAAUGGACGCAAGUCUGCCCCAGCCAUGCCGCGUGCAGGAUGAAGGCGUUAUGCGUUGUAAACUGCUUUUAUACAGGAAGAAACGACUCUUGCGAGAGGCAUUGACGGUACUGUAUGAAUAAGCACCGGCUAACUCCGUGCCAGCCGCCGCAGUAAAAC